rnacentral:rRNA from 1 species
AUUGAACGCUGGCGGCAGGCCUAACACAUGCAAGUCGAGCGGAUGAAGGGAGUUUGCUCCUGGAUUCAGCGGCGGACGGGUGAGUAAUGCCUAGGAAUCUGCCUGGUAGUGGGGGAUAACGUCCGGAAACGGGCGCUAAUACCGCCUACGUCCUGAGGGUGAAAGUGGGGGAUCUUCGGACCUCACGCUAUCAGAUGAGCCUAGGUCGGAUUAGCUAGUUGGUGGGGUAAAGGCCUACCAAGGCGACGAUCCGUAACUGGUCUGAGAGGAGGAUCAGUCACACUGGAAGUGAGACACGGCCCAGACUCCUACGGGAGGCAGCAGUGGGGAAGAUUGGACAAUGGGCGAAAGCAUGAUCCAGCCGUGCCGCGUGUGUGAAGAAGGACGUCGGAUUGUAAAGCACUUUAAGUUGGGAGGAAGGACAGUAAGUUAAUACCUCGCUGUUUUGGCGUUACCAACAGAAUAAGCACCGGCUAACUUCGU